rnacentral:lncRNA from 1 species
GCCAGGUGUCUGGAGCGUGGGAGUGGCCCUCAGAUUCCCGAUUUACGCGGAAUAGCGACGAGCCAUGCUCCAGCUGUGCUCUAUUAAAUAUUUCCAAAAGGGCCUGUCACCCGUGCUGUUCUAGAUAUUCUGGUGAAGAAUACAGAAUCAACAUGGCUUUCCUUUGCUCAGAAGCCAUUGGUGGGAAGUGAACUCUUGUUAAACUUGAAGAUUUUCAGUGAAUGGACCUGACUAAACU